rnacentral:rRNA from 1 species
GGAAGGAUCAUUACCGAAUUGUUAACACGAGUUGUUGCUGGUCCUCAAAUGGGGGGCAUGUGCACGCUCUGUUCAUAACAUCCACUCACACCUGUGCACACACUCCAUAGUUCCUGUGGCUUUGGGGGGGAAGGGGGCUCUGUUCUCUUCCUGCCUGCUGCGGUUCUAUGCAUUUACACAUAUACACCCUGUAAUAAAGUUUUAUGGAAAGGAUGUCGCGUUUAACGCAAUAAAAUACAACUUUCAGCAACGGAUCUCUUGGCUCUCGCAUCGAUGAAGAACGCAGCGAAAUGCGAUAAGUAAUGUGAAUUGCAGAAUUCAGUGAAUCAUCGAAUCUUUGAACGCACCUUGCGCCCUUUGGCUAUUCCGAAGGGCAUGCCUGUUUGAGUAUCAUGAACAUCCUCAACUCCUCACGGCUUGCCGUGAUUGAGCUUGGACUUUGGAGGCUUUGCUGGCUUGCAGGUCGGCUCCUCUCAAAUGGAUCAGCUUUACCAGUGUUCCGGUGGGCAUCACAUGUGUGAUAACUAUCUGCGCUUGUGGUUUUCUGCUGGGUAACCUUCGUCACUGAAGGUUCACUGGGGCUCAUAAAUGUCUCUCCUCAGCGAAGACAGCUCUUGAACGUUUGAUCUCAAAUCAGGUAGGACUACCCGCUGAACUUAAGCAUAUCAAUAAGCGGAGGAAAAGAAACUAACAAGGAUUCCCCUAGUAACUGCGAGUGAAGCGGGAUGAGCUCAAAUUUAAAAUCUGGCGUGCCUCUGGUCGUCCGAGUUGUAGUCUGGAGAAGCGUUUUCCGUGUUGGACCGUGUAUAAGUCUCUUGGAACAGGGCGUCAUAGAGGGUGAGAAUCCCGUCUUUGACACGGACUACCAAUGCUUUGUGAUGCGCUCUCAAAGAGUCGAGUUGUUUGGGAAUGCAGCUCAAAAUGGGUGGUAAAUUCCAUCUAAAGCUAAAUAUAGGCGAGAGACCGAUAGCGAACAAGUACCGUGAGGGAAAGAUGAAAAGCACUUUGGAAAGAGAGUUAAACAGUACGUGAAAUUGCUGAAAGGGAAACGCUUGAAGUCAGUCACGUCUGCCAGGACUCAGCCUUGCUUCUUGCUUGGUGCACUUUCUGGUUUGACGGGCCAACAUCAAUUUUGACCGUCGGAAAAAGGCUUUGGGAAUGUGGCACCUUUGGGUGUGUUAUAGCCCUUUGUCGUAUACGACGGUUGGGAUUGAGGGCUGCAGCACGCCUUUAUGGCCGGGGUUCGCCCACGUACGUGCUUAGGAUGUUGGCAUAAUGGCUUUAAGCGACCCGUCUUGAAACACGGACCAAGGAGUCUAACAUGCCUGCGAGUGUUUGGGUGGAAAACCCAUGCGCGUAAUGAAAGUGACAGCUGAGAUCCC